AGUCCACUUGGGCUUUUAUUCUUGCUAGUCACCAUCCGGCCUAUUCUGUGCUCCACUGAAAUACAUCUGUUAUCCUGUUAUGGACAGGAGCUCUUGUGUUUUUCCCAAGACAAUAAUUAGGUCAUUCAAUGGUGAAAUUCCUGCUAAGAGCGGUGGCCCAAUGACAGUCCUGGCGAGUCAAUCUGCUCGUAUCUGCCCGUGCCAUCUCUGUGCCAGCCUCCCCACUCCUUCCCUCCACUUCCCCUGUACUUGCACUUCUUCCUGCACUAGGUCAAAAUUUUGAAUUUUGUUUUUUUUUCAAUGUCUCUUUAAGUCUGCCUUGAUCCAGGAAUUCUCUUGUGCUUUGUUCAUAUGGCUAGCAGCAAACCUCCCUAUAUUUAACUGAAUAUAUGUCAUUUAAAAAGCAUCACUGAGUAUAAUUAUCAUGGUGCCUCUCCCUUUUUCUUUCUGCUGACAUCUGUUUCAAAUCUUCAUCACUCCUAACUAUAGAUUUCUCUUUAAGAUAUUGCUUCAAUGUGGCUUUCCUAUUCUCGGAACAAAUAGAAUGGAACUCACUGCAUUCUUUUCCAGCUCUUUUGGGUGAUGUAGGACAAGGCUGCAGGAACUCAGCUUUUCCAGAAGUAGAGCAUGGAGCCAUAUUAGCUGGAGGGUUGCUGAAUGGUUCCAGGUUCAAACAUCAGCAUAGCAAAGUCAUUAUGAGCACAAACUCCUGUGACUUACUCAGCUGUGUGACUCAGGGCAAGCAACAUAAUAUUGCUGUAGCUUGGUUCAUUCUUUUUUACAGUGGUAGAUACAAUAAAGUAAUACGCAUCUCACAGGGUCGAGUGGGUGCUAAAAGAGUUAGUAGAUAUCAGGCACUCCAGAGGUUGCUUUAUACAGCAGGCACUCAACCUUUGUUUAUUACUAUCAUGUUGCUCCACCAGAGAGUCACAGAUUUCAUCUCUGGGGUCACUUGAUCCCUUUGCUGUCUGCAACUUUUGUAGCUUGGGAGGAGCUUCCUUGACAAGAUAAGGAAUUUAUUUAUUCCUCCAGCCAGUGGGAUUUCCGACUGUCCGGGGAGGUGGUUUGGAACUAAGACUUAACAUGAAGAGAAAAUACUGAUAUAUUCCAUGGAGACGAUCUAUUUUCCAUUUCAACUUGGAAGACUAACACUUGACUGUCUCACCAGUGGAGGCAGCAAGAGGGUGCAUAAUACAAAGUUUCUGUAAGCCUUGUAAUCUCUGACCACUUGGUACAAUGAGAAGGACUGUAAUAUAUUGGAUGCUACCAGUUUUUACUUUAUGGGGAAAGUUUUUCUUCUAUUUUUACAGAAUAGUCAUGACUUUUACACUUUGCACCUUCAGAAAUCUCUAAGUCAGAAAAUAAGCAUUCUCUGCAUCCUGUUCUUUUCUUGACUUUACACUAUUACUGAAUUUUCAUUUCAAUAGUUUAAUAGUAGCAGCUAAC
rnacentral:lncRNA from 10 species